UACUUCACUGUACAUAGAUCAUCUUUCGAUUCCAACAGAAGAUAUCAUGUCCAAGUUCUGCAAAUUGAUGUCAGCAAACUGGCCUCACAACAAAGAAGAUCCUGUGUGUUAAUAUAUAAUAAAAAUGUGUUUUAGUGGGUACAAACCCAUCUGCAUAACUAGUCUUCUCUUUUUCUGCUAAAAUCUUCAUGGCUUUUAUUUUGCUAAAUUCAUCAUAUUCCAAACUUUUUAAAGUCCAUUGUUGUAUUCAAUAUGUUUGUAUUAUAAAUUAAAUUGAUGUCAUUGAAAGAUAGGCUUGUUCCUUUUUUCCACAAUGUUCACUGAUGGAUUCAAAGUUUUGGAUGCUAAGCACUAGAUAAACGGUUCUUUUGAUAACAAAUCAAGACAUUUUAUUCGAAGCCUUUAAAAUACUUAAAAAGACCUCUCCUGCUAAUUUUGACAAUGUAACUGUGCCUUAAAUAGAAAUAUGGAAAUUUCUGCUGCAUAUUUAAUUAUAGAAAUUAUGGAGAUAUUGCACUUUAUGAAAAAAAGAAUUAGCUCCCCUGUCACUUGAGAACGAGAAUAUUUGUUUUGAUCCCCCCUAAAAAAGGACUAGGGAUAUAGAAAUGGCAGGAUUAAAUCUGUCUGUGCUUGCCUGAGUGCAUGCUUCCGUCCAUCAGUGCAUGUUUCUGUCAGUCACACACUCGUCUUUGUGCAACUCUUUCUUUUAAUAUGGCACUUUAAUUAAAAUGUUCAUAAUGAUAAUUUCCAAAUGCUUUUUGUCAAGGUUUUGCUCUGUUUUCUAUAGAAGUUAUUUCCAUCUGUUUCAAAUUACACAUACAAGCGUACAUGUAGGUGCCCAACUUCUACAUUUAGCAUGCAAUUUUUAUGCCCCCCUUCGAAGAAGAGGGGGUAUAUUGCUUUGCUCAUGUCGGUCUGUCUGUCGGUCGGUCCGUCCACCAGGUGGUUUCCGGAUGAUAACUCAAGAACGCUUGGGGCUAGGAUCAUGAAACUUCAAAGGAAGAUUGAUCAUGACUCGCAGAUAACCCCUAUUGAUUUUUAGGUCACUAGGUCAAAGGUCAAGGUCAUGAUAACCCGAAAUAGUAAAAUGGUUUCCGGAUGAUAACUCAAAAAUGCUUAGGCCUAGGAUCAUGAAACAUGAUAGGAAGAUUGAUCAUGACUCGCAGAUGACCCCUAUUGAUUUUGAGGUCACAUGGUCAAAGGUCAAGGUCACAGUGACCCGAAAUAGUAAAAUGGUUUCUGGAUGAUAACUCAAGAACGCUUAGGCCUAGGAUCAUGUAACUUGAUAGGUAGAUUGAUCAUGACUUGCAGAUGGCCCCUAUUGAUUUUCAGGUCACUAGGUCAAAGGUCAAGGUCACAGUGACCCGAAAUAGUAAAAUGGUUUCCGGAUGAUAACUCAAGAACGCUUAUGCCUAGGAUCAUGAAACUUUGUAGGUAGAUUGAUAAUGGCUGGCAGAUGACCCCUAUAUUUCAGGUCACUAGGUCAAAGGUCAAGGUCACGGUGACCCAAAAUAGGAAAAUGGUUUCCGGAUGAUAACUCAAGAACGCUUAUGUCUAGGAUCAUGAAACUUCAUAGGUACAUGCACAUUGAUCAAGACUCACAGAUGACCCCUAUUGAUUUUCAGGUCACUAGGUCAAAGGUCAAGGUCACGGUGACCCGAAAUAGUAAAAUGGUUUCCGGAUGAUAACUCAAGAACGCUUUUGCCUAGGAUCAUGAAACUUCAUAGGUACAUUGAUCAUGACUCGCAGAUGACCCCUAUCGAUUUUGAGGUCACUAGGUCAAAGGUCAAGUUCAAGGUGACCCAAAAUAGUAAAAUGGUUCCCGGAUGAUAACUCAAGAACGCUAAUGGCUACGAUCAUGAAACUUGAUAGGUAGAUUGAUCAUGACUCGCAGAUGACCCCUAUUGAUUUUCAGGUCACUAGGUCAAAGGUCAAGGUUACGGUGACCUGAAAUAGUAAAAUGGUUUCCGGAUGAUAACUCAAGAACGCUUAUGGCUAGGAUCAUGAAACUUCAUAGGUACAUUGAUCAUGACUGGCAGAUGAUCCCUAUCGAUUUUCAGGUCACUAGGUCAAAGGUCAAGGUCACAGUGACAAAAAACAUAUUCACACAAUGGCUGUCACUACAACGGAGAGCCCAUAUUUGUCAAAGUACGGAAUAAUUAUUAACCUCUGCUUAAGUGCAUGUUGUCAAUGUUUUGCACAUGCUCUGUUUUUAUUAGUUCACCUGUCCCGAAGUGACAUGGUGAGCUUAUGUGACUGUGUGAUGUCCGGCAUCUGUAUGUGAGUGCCUGCAUGUGUGUGUGCGUGUGUCCGUCAACAAUUUGUUUGUGUAGACAGUAGAGGUCACAGUUUUCAUCCAAUCUUUAUGAAAUUUGGUCAGAACGUUUAUCUUGAUGAAAUCUGGGUUGGGAUUGUAUUUGUGUCAUCUGGGGUCAAAAACAAGGUCACUAGGUCAAAAAAUGGAAAAACCUUGUGUAGACAAUAGAGGUCACAGUUUUCAUCCAAUUUUAAGCUCACCUGAUUGCUCAGGUGAGCUUUUGUGACCGGUCUUUGUCCGUCGUAUGUCCGUCCGUCCGUUAACAUUUGCUCGUUAACACUCUAGAGGCCACAUUCCUUGUCCCAUCUUCAUGAAACUUGGUCAGAAGCUUUGUCCCAAUGAAAUCUCGGCCAAGUUAGAAACUGGGUUGUGACGGAUCAAAAACUAGGUCACUAGGUAAAAAAAAGGAAAAACCUUGUAAACACUGUAGAAGUCACAUUUCAUGCCCAAUCUUCAUGUUAUUUUGUCAAAAUGUUUGUCUUAAUGAUAUCUUGGUUGAGUACAAAAGUGGUUCCGAUCUGUUGAAAAACAUGGCCGCCGGUGGGCGGGGCAGUUUUCCUUAUUUGGCUAUAGAGAAACCUUGUAAACAAUCUAGAAGUCACAAUUUUUUCCCAAUCAUCAUGAAAGUUGGUCAAAACAUUGGUUCAAUUGAUGUCUAGGACGAGUUCAAAAAUGGUUGAGAUCGGUGAAAAAACAUGGCCGCCAGUGGGCGGGGCAUUUUUCACUAUAUAUAUAUAUAGUGGCAGUUUUCCCUAUUUGGCUAUAGAGAUUAGAGAAACCCUGUAAACACUCUAGAAGUCACAAUUUUUGCCCAAUCAUCAUGGAAGUUUGUCAAAACAUUGAUUUUAUUUAUAUCUCGGACGAGUUUGUAAAUGGUCGGGAUCGGUGAAAAAACAUGGCCGCCAGUGGGCGGGUCAUUUUUCUUUAUAUGUAUAUAGUUAAAACAUGUGAACACAGUAGAAUUCACUUUUUUUGCCCAAUUUUCAUGAAAUUUGGUCAGAACAUUUGUUUCCUUGAUACGAGAGUUAAAAAAUGGUUCCGGUCAGUUGAAUAACAUGGCUGCUGGGAGGGGGGCAGUUUUCUCAUUAUGCCCCCCCACCCCCACUUUCGAAGAAGAGGGGGUAUAUUGUUUUGCUUACGUCGGUCCGUCCGUCCGCCAGAUGGUUUCCGGAUGAUAACUCAAGAGCGCUUAUGCCAAAGAUCAUGAAACUUCAUAGGUACAUUGAUCAUGACUCGCAGAUGACCACUAUUGAUUUUCAGGUCACUAGGUCAAAGGUCAAGGUCACGAUGACCCGAAAUAGUAAAAUGGUUUCCGGAUGAUAACUCAAGAACGCUUAUGCCUAGGAUCAUGACACUGCAUAGAUACAUUGAUCAUGACUGGCAAAUGACCCCUAUUGAUUUUCAGGUCACUAGGUCAAACGUCAAGGUCACAGUGACCCAAAGCAGUUAAAUGGUUUCUGGAUGAUAACUCAAGAACGCUUAUGCCUAGAAUCAUGAAACUUCAUAGAUACAUUGAUCAUGACUCGCAGAUAACCCCUAUUGAAUUUCAGGUCACUAGGUCAAAGGUCAAGGUCAUGAUGACCCGAAAUAGUAAAAUGGUUUCCGGAUGAUAACUCAAAAAUGCUUAGGCCUAGGAUCAUGAAACUUCAUAGGUACAUUAAUCAUGACUCGCAGAUGACCCCACUUGAUUUUCAGGUCACUAGGUCAAAGGUCAAGGUCACGGUGACCUGAAAUAGUAAAAUGGUUUCUGGAUGAUAACUCAAGGACGCUUAUGCCUAGGAUCAUGAAACUUCAUAGGUACAAUGAUCAUGACUCGCAGAUGACCCCUAUUGAUUUUCAGGUCACUAGGUCAAAAAAUAGUAAAAUGGUUUCUGGAUGAUAACUCGAGAACGCUUAUGCCUAGAAUCAUGAAACUUCAUAGGUGCAAUGAUCAUGACUCGCAGAUGAACCCUAUUGAUUUUCAGGUCACUAGGUCAAAGGUCAAGGUCUCGGUGACCUGAAAUAGUAAAAUGGUUUCUGGAUGAUAACUCAAGAACGCUUAUGCCUAGGAUCAUGAAACUUCAUAGGUACAAUGAUCAUGACUCUCAGAUGACCCCUAUUGAUUUUCAGGUCACUAGGUCAAAGAUCAAGGUCAUAGUGACCUGAAAUAGUAAAAUAGUUUCUGGAUGAUAACUCAAGAACGCUUAUGCCUAGAUUCAUGAAACUUCUUAGGUUUAUUGAUCAUGACUCGCAGAUGACCCCUAUUGAUUAUCAGGUCUCUAGGUCAAAGGUCAAGGUCACAGUGCCAAAAAACUAAUUCACACAAUGGCUGUCAAAGUCACGGUGACUCAACUUAGAAAAAGGGUUUCCGGAUGAUAACUCAAGAAUGCUUACGCCUAGGAUCAUGAAACUUCAUAGGUUCAUUGAUCAUGACUGGCAGAUGAAAUAAUGAUGAAACCUGACCAGGAUGUUGGUCUGGACAAUACCUAGGUCAAGUUUGACAUUUGAUAAAGAUUGAAUGAACCGACUCCUCUCAGGUGAGCGAACUAGGGCCAUCUUAGCCCUCUUGUUAUGAAAUUUGGUCAGAAUGUUUAUCUUGAUGAAAUCUGGGUUGGGAAUGUAUUUGGGUCAGCUGGGGUCAAAAACUAGGUCACGAGGUCAAAAACUAGGUCAAAUAAUAGAAAAAUCUUGUGUAGACAAUAGAGGUCGCAGUUUUCAUCCAAUCUUUAUGAAAUUUGGUCAGAAUGUUUAUCUUGAUGAAAUCUGGGUACGGAUUGUAUUUGGGUCAUCUGAGGUCAAAAACUAGGUCAAAUAAUAGAAAAACCGUCAACAAUUUGUUUGUGUAGACAUUAGAGGUCACAAUUUUCAUCCAAUCUUAAUGCAAUUUGGUCAGAAUGUAUAUCUUGAUGAAAUCUUGGUUGGGAUUGUAUUUGGGUCAUCUGGGGUCAAAAACUAGGUCACUAGGUCAAAAACUUGGUCACUAGUUCAAAUAAUAGAAAAACCUUGUAUAGACAAUAGAGGUCGCAGUUUUUACCAAUCUUUGUGAAAUUUGGUCAGAAUGUUCAUCUUGAUGAAACCUGGGUUGGGAUUGUAUUUGGGUCAUCUGGGGUCAAAAACUAGAUCACUAGAUCAAAUAAUAGAAAAAUCUUGUGUAGACAAUAAAGGUCACAGUUUUCAUCCAAUCUUAAUGAAAUUUGGUCAGAAUGUUUGUCUUGAUAAAAUCUGGGUUGGGAUUGUAUUUUGGUCAUCUGGGGUCAAAAACUAGGUCACUAGGUCAAAUAAUAGAAAAACCUUGUGUAGACAAUAGAGGUCACAGUUUUCAUCCAAUCUUUAUAAAAUUCGAUCAGAAUUUUAUCUUGAUGACAUCUGUGUUGGGAUUGCACUUGGGUCACCUGGGGUCAAAAACUAGGUCAAUAGGUCAAGUAUUAGAAAAACCUUGUGUAGACAUUAGAGGUCACAGUUUUCAUCCAAUCUUUAUGAAAUUUGGUCAGAAUGUUUAUCUUGAUGAAAACUGGGUUGGGAUUGUAUUUGGUUAGUCAGGUGAGCGAUUCAGGGCCAUCAUGGCCCUCUUGUUAAAUAAGAUAUUGGCCAUUAUUUAAAAUAUGAAAUAAAAGCUUUUUAGUGCCACCGCUA